CAGUAGCCGCGGUAAAACGUAGGGUGCGAGCGUUAAUCGGAAUUACUGGGCGUAAAGCGUGCGCAGGCGGUUAUAUAAGACAGAUGUGAAAUCCCCGGGCUCAACCUGGGACCUGCAUUUGUGACUGUAUAGCUAGAGUACGGUAGAGGGGGAUGGAAUUCCGCGUGUAGCAGUGAAAUGCGUAGAUAUGCGGAGGAACACCGAUGGCGAAGGCAAUCCCCUGGACCUGUACUGACGCUCAUGCACGAAAGCGUGGGGAGCAAACAGGAUUAGAUACCCCCGUAGUCCCUGUCUCUUAUAA
rnacentral:rRNA from 1 species